rnacentral:rRNA from 1 species
CAGAACAUGGGUGAUAAGGUCCGUGUUCGAAAGGGAAACAGCCCAGACCACCAGCUAAGGUCCCAAAAUAUAUGUUAAGUGGAAAAGGAUGUGGCGUUGCCCAGACAACUAGGAUGUUGGCUUAGAAGCAGCCAUCAUUUAAAGAGUGCGUAAUAGCUCACUAGUCGAGUGACACUGCGCCGAAAAUGUACCGGGGCUAAACAUAUUACCGAAGCUGUGGAUUGUCCUUUGGACAAUGGUAGGAGAGCGUUCUAAGGGCGUUGAAGCAUGAUCGUAAGGACAUGUGGAGCGCUUAGAAGUGAGAAUGCCGGUGUGAGUAGCGAAAGACGGGUGAGAAUCCCGUCCACCGAUUGACUAAGGUUUCCAGAGGAAGGCUCGUCCGCUCUGGGUUAGUCGGGUCCUAAGCUGAGGCCGACAGGCGUAGGCGAUGGAUAACAGGUUGAUAUUCCUGUACCACCUAUAAUCGUUUUA